AGUGAACGCUGGCGGCGCGCUUAACACAUGCAAGUCGAGCGAAGCGGCGGACGGGUGAGUAACACGUGAGUAACCUGCCUUAGACAUUGGGAUAGCCUCGGGAAACCGGGAUUAAUACCAAAUGGUCUAAGAUGGACGCGCGUCCUAUCAGCUUGUUGGUGGGGUAGUGGCCUACCAAGGCGACGACGGGUAGCCGGCCUGAGAGGGAGACCGGCGACAUUGGGACUGAGAUACGGCCCAAACUCUACGGGAGGCAGCAGUGGGGAAUAUUGCACAAUGGGGGAAACCCUGAUGCAGAAACGCCGCGGGCGGGAUGACGGCCUUCGGGUUGUAAACCGCUUUCAGCCAUGACGCGGUAGUGGCAGAAGAAGCACCGGCUAACUACGUGCCAGCAGCCGCGGUAAUAC
rnacentral:rRNA from 1 species